UGAAGAAAAUGUGAGAGGCUUAAGAGGGAGAGAGUGUGUGUGUGCGCUUUAGUACAGAGAUUUGUCAUUUUCUGUCAUAAUUGUUUCUUUUCUGUUUGUAUGGUUUUAUUUAUUAUCGUUAUAUCAAAUGAUUUUCCAAUAACCAAUUUACUGUUACUCUACUAGUACUAUCAAAUUUGUUGACAUAAUAAUUUUGUGAAACUUGAACUUCCAUAUUAGGUUCAAGGAUGUAGUAUAAAGAAUAAAUAAUACUCCUAGGUCUUCAAAAUUAAAUUCUUUGAUUGCAAGAAAAAAUCAUAAAACAUGUGCUUCAUAACAUAGUUUCAUUCAUUAUAAACUAACAUUUCAAAUGUUGAUGAAUAGUUCAUAUGGUCAUUUAUAAUUUAUUGUUUGCAUGGUCCCAUUUGAUACGAUGUUCUUUAGGGCACAAGGAAUAAAAUAUUGAAAUUGUUCUUUAUCCUCAUAUGGUAUCAUAUGCCUUGCCCCCAGAGGGGUAUCAAAUGUCUGAUUUCUUUUUCUUUUUUUUUUUGUGAAAUGUCUGUUAUUUUCUUUAAGUAUUAUCGGUUCUUAUUACCUUAAAUUCCAGAGUUUUACUAACAGUUGAAAACUAAUGAGUGCUGGUUAAAUUUCCAAAUCUUAGUAACAUCAGACAAAUUUAGAUUGUAAGAACAUCAUAUUAAUCUUAAAAAAUACUUAUAUAUAUUUAAUACUUCAUCAAAGAAGUCCAUAUUCUACACCGGCAAAAAUUGUAUGCUUUCCCAUCACGAGUCUGCCACGGACAGAGACAGGUGUCUAUCCAGGGAAAGUGUAACACAUGGCAAUGACCGUCAAUAAAAUGUGCUAUGGAGUAUGCCAGUCUGGUAUCGUACUAAGUAAUUAAUAUUAUGGAAUUGGUUUGUAUUUUUAAAAGCUAGGCUUGGAAGAGAAUGUAGAAAUAACAUGUUUAAGAAAUAAAAAGAUGAUAAUUGCAUUAUUACAUAGUUUUACAUUUCUUAGUUUUUCUGUUCGUGAACCUUCAUUAUCCAAAAUUCUUAAUAUUUAUUUCGACUUCGCAAAGUAACAGACAAAUUUUCACAUGUGAUAACAUUAUAUUAUCAUCAUCAAUUAAUGGUAUAGAGUCUGAAGAUCCGCUGACAUCUGAUGCGCCUAUCCUUCUUUGCUUUUCACCGUAAAUCACUAGGUAAUUAAAUACGAGUACUAAUUGAAUUCCACAAUUAUAUUAACACCAAAUAACUUAUUCACUUUUGUAUAUCUUUAAUUAUGUCAUUACGUAAGAUCACUAUUAGCAUUCUUAUUUUGCAUAUGGAUCUUGUAUUUUCAAAAUUUUAUUGUGAAGCUGUAUCUUCCAGAAAUCUAUUUAUUUUUAUUUGAAAUUGUCAAUAAGUAUAUCUGUGGAAAACAUAAUUGUGAUAAGAUCUCUAGAAAUGUAUCAAACAAGGUCGCUUUCAAUUGAUAUAUACAUCUUUUCGAAAUCUUUUAUUUAGUAGUUCGACACUCUUUAUAUACUUAAGAAACAAACAAAAAGAUUAUUGUCUUGUUGAAUCCUUACUGCAAAAUUAUUUUCUUUUUAUAUUUUUCCCUAAUGGAAAAGCGAUAUAUACCCUGCAACAACAAAAAUAGUUCUUUUGGUUUUUAUAUGAUUGUUGAUUUCUUUUUUCUAUUAUUAUAUGUAUAUUUUUUGUUGUUUUCUGAUUUCUUUAUUGCAUCGUUAUUGGUUUGAAACAACUACUUUAUUAGUCUCAUCGUACGUACGUUCUGUCUGCAUCCCUGCCAAAAUAAGACGAAAAAUGCACACUACCAAAACCUACGAAUUGUUUGGGACCGUUGCCUAUAGAAUAGUAAAUUACAAAGAUAGGUUUGUAUAAUUGCAUGUAUACGUUCUGUCUAUAUAGUGGACGAUAGAAGAGACUAAAACACUUUUCAAUUCCUGUUUUGUCUCUAUCUCGAGAGGAACGAACUAUUCUUACUUCUUGAAUGUGUUUAUUAAACAUCAACAUCUUUAACAAUUAUGCAAAGGAAUCCAUAUUUGGCAAAAUACAGGCACGAGGACACGAGGUUUACAUUAUUCAGAUUACAAAUCUAUUAAACACUCUUACUUACUUUUGGUAUUUUAAUCUCAUGGAUGUUUGUCGGAUUCUUAAGUUUGGUAGACGAACAAUAUUUUGACUAUUUGGAUAUACUAAAACAUUUACAACUUUAAGUAAUGUCUAAUCUAUAUCAACAUCUAGAGAGACCAAUGGUAAAGAAAAUUUGAAGAUACAGAUGAUAGUUUCUAAAAAGUACUUAUAUAGUUACCGCUAGAGCUACCGACUUUUUUAAGUAAGAGAAAGAGAUUAGCCUCCGACUCUCGGCGGAGUAUUUGUUAAUAGUUGGAAUUUCAUGAUAUGUAACGAUGCUUUAUCAUUUUAAUUUAUUUUGAUUAUAUUUAAAAGUUGUUAAAACUAUCUUAUUAAAUCCACGAUUUAUAUUGGUUAAAUCAAAUCAAUCAUGCCAUUUAAAAAUGUUAUGGCGAAACUUUUUCGGUGCUUUGAUUGUCUCGAUCAAAGUGUUUCAUGUUUCCAAAACGUUCACCAGAAAGGAAAGUUUGUUCCCCAAUAUGGAACUUUUUAAUCUGAAAUAUAAUUUGUGAUUUGGGCAUUAAUUCUCACAUACGGAAAUUAUAACAAAAUUUGGUUUGAGAUCCGUGUCUGUAGUAAGGAUAUAAACUAUGAGGUCCCAUUUUCUCUAAACAUCUAAUUCUAUUAUAACUAAAUUCCAUGGUAGGAGAAAUCUACUGUCUUGGAGUCCAAACUGGGAUCAUUAAAAUUAGAAAACCGGGUCAGAAACCAAUUUGGCUUUAUCAAUGGUUGGACCAAGUUCUAUUAUCUAAUGUAAACUAUUUACGUAAAUAAAAAUAUGUUAUUGGAUACAAAAAAUAUAGACAUCAAAAAGAAAAGUGAGAAAUAGAGAAACAUUAGGGAAAUUUUAAUAGUGCAUCAUCUCAAAUCUUGUUUUUAACUCAAUCCUUUAAGAAAAGAUAUUGAGAAUUAGGGCAUUCGGGUUGGACGAUGUGUCCCCGCCACUUUUUUGUAUCCCUAAAGUAUAUCGACCUCUUCAACACGUGGCAAUUUGAGUCAAACAGUAUUUGUCUACAGCUGUUUUCGGUCGAGGUUAAACAAUCCCCGAAUCAAUUGCGUGCCACGUAUGGUACGGAAACACCGUUAAAACUCAAAUUCGUAAAGUAAGAAGAUCCUAUUGAAAACUUAACGGGCGCCGUGAAAACGUUUAUGAUACAAAAAAACGUUUAGUGGACGACGUCGGUUCGAGGACCCAGCUGGAAAAGAAAAACUGGAGCCCCAAAAGUCCAAAACCACCUUUAUCGAAAAUUGAAGCUCAGUCUUUCUCUUUCUCUUUCGGCUUUGAUCAUUUAUACUCGAGAAACAUGGUCGUACGUCGAGGUCUUGGGCUACUUCAAUCCUUUGCCAGGAAUGUGCAGGGGAGGAUGGUGGUAAGAGAAUGGGGUCUCAAGUUCGAUCGAAUCAAGCAUCAGACCCGGUUCAACGACUCCUAUUCAGAUCGGGUUUACUUCCUCCUCCUCCUCCAAUGGUGGCUAUGGGACGUAAAGGUGGAGAAAGAGACACUCGCACGGUUGAUCCAAUGACAGGUCGGUAUGUGGAUGCUGAGAAUAAACCACCGGUUAUCACUAACCAGCCUAAGGAAGAAGGAAAUGCAGAAGAACAGAGUCCAUGAACUAAUCGUGUGUAUCCUUUGUCGUUGUAGCUUCUCUAAAGUUCAGCUCGUUACUUCUGUUCUGUCUAAUGCACAUUAGAAAAAUCCGUAUGUUUAUUAGGUACGAGCGGCGAGAUGUUUACCAAUCUUAUGCAAAACCGGCACACAUUUUGCAUUGUUCUUUAAGACGAGGAGGACCGAGAAGGCCUUGUCAACGCUUUCAAGGUGAAGUUUUGUUUCUGUAUACUUGAAGGGAAUGUGCGAUUUAGGGGUUUUGUUUCCUGAGUAUACAAUGACGUUUCCGUAGCUUAGGAGUGUAGCUUCGUGCUCUAUGUCGGUCUAUUACAAAAGGUACUGGUUAUCUGUUGGUGCUCAGGCAUCAGACCCGGUUCAUUGACUCCUAUUUAGAUCCUGUUUGCUUCCUCCUCCUCCAAUGGUGGCUAUGGGACUUAUAGGUGGAGAAAGAGACACUCGUGUGGUCGAUCCGAUCCAAUGACAGGUCGCUAUGUGGACGCAGAGAAUAAACCAGCGGUUAUAAAUAACAAGCCUAAAGAAGAAGUAAAUGCUGAAGACAAGAGUCCAUGAUUCGUUAGACUAAUGAAGAAGACAAGAGUCCAUGAACUAAUCGUGUGUAACCUUUGAAGAAGACAAGAGUCCAUGAGGCAUGAACUAAUCGUGUGUAACCUUUGUCGGUGUAGCUUCUCUAAAGUUCAGUUUGUUACUUCUGUCUAAUGCACAUUAGCAAAAUCCUCUAUGUUUAGGUCUGAGCUGCAAGGUGUUUACCAAUCUUAUGCAAAACCAGGCACGCAUUUUGUAUCGGUA